CGCGGCCUAUCAGCUUGUUGGUGGGGUAAUGGCCUACCAAGGCGACGACGGGUAGCCGGCCUGAGAGGGCGGCCGGCCACACUGGGACUGAGACACGGCCCAGACUCCUACGGGAGGCAGCAGUGGGGAAUAUUGCACAAUGGGCGAAAGCCUGAUGCAGCGACGCCGCGUGAGGGAUGACGGCCUUCGGGUUGUAAACCUCUUUCAGCAGGGAAGAAGCUUUUGUGACGGUACCUGCAGAAGAAGCACCGGCUAACUACGUGCCAGCAGCCGCGGUAAUACGUAGGGUGCGAGCGUUGUCCGGAAUUAUUGGGCGUAAAGAGCUUGUAGGCGGUUUGUCGCGUCUGCUGUGAAAAUUCAGGGCUUAACCCUGGACGUGCAGUGGGUACGGGCAGACUAGAGUAUGGUAGGGGAGACUGGAAUUCCUGGUGUAGCGGUGGAAUGCGCAGAUAUCAGGAGGAACACCGAUGGCGAAGGCAGGUCUCUGGGCCAUUACUGACGCUGAGAAGCGAAAGCAUGGGGAGCGAACAGGAUUAGAUACCCUGGUAGUCCAUGCCGUAAACGUUGGGCACUAGGUGUGGGGGACAUUCCACGAGAUCCGUGUCGCAGCUAACGCAUUAAGCGCCCCGCCUGGGGAGUACGG
rnacentral:rRNA from 1 species